UACGGGAGGCAGCAGUGGGGAAUAUUGGACAAUGGGCGCAAGCCUGAUCCAGCCAUGCCGCGUGUGUGAAGAAGGCCUUUUGGUUGUAAAGCACUUUAAGCGAGGAGGAGGCUACUGGUAUUAAUACUACCGGAUAGUGGACGUUACUCGCAGAAUAAGCACCGGCUAACUCUGUGCCAGCAGCCGCGGUAAUACAGAGGGUGCGAGCGUUAAUCGGAUUUACUGGGCGUAAAGCGUGCGUAGGCGGCUUUUUAAGUCGGAUGUGAAAUCCCUGAGCUUAACUUAGGAAUUGCAUUCGAUACUGGGAAGCUAGAGUAUGGGAGAGGAUGGUAGAAUUCCAGGUGUAGCGGUGAAAUGCGUAGAGAUCUGGAGGAAUACCGAUGGGCGAAGGCAGCCAUCUGGGCCUAAUACUGACGCUGAGGUACGAAAGCAUGGGGAGGCAAACAGGAUUAGGAUAACC
rnacentral:rRNA from 1 species